rfam:Ictidomys tridecemlineatus contig004200, whole genome shotgun sequence.
GAACAGGUCUUUCUAAAGACCACUUUAAGAAGAUGAUCAUAAUUUU